UACGGGGGGGGUAAGCGUUGUUCGGAAUUACUGGGCGUAAAGGGUUCGUAGGCGGCCAACUAAGUCAGACGUGAAAUCCCUCAGCUUAACUGGGGAACUGCGUCUGAUACUGGAUGGCUUGGAUUCGGGAGAGGAAUGCGGAAUUCCAGGUGUAGCGGUGAAAUGCGUAGAUAUCUGGAGGAACACCGGUGGCGAAGGCGGCAUUCUGGACCGAUAUUGACGCUGAGGAGCGAAAGCAUGGGGAGCGAACAGG
rnacentral:rRNA from 1 species